CGGCCCGGAAGUAACUUCUAUGUUUCCUCUAGAUGCCUCAAAGCGGCUUGGGACGAACCUGAAUACCAUGUGAGACUGUGACACUUUUAACAUAUUCGCCAUUAACUUCAACAAUAUUUCUACAACCUGCCAGCCUCCACAUACACGCUCCUGACAUGCUUAACGCGGAUGAAAUUGCCGGCUUGUGCUACGAGCGUUUCAACCAACUUCCCCGGAGAGGGAAGCCUGAGGCGGGCAGAGAGUGGACCCUGCUGGCUGCUGUGGUCAAAAUCAGCCGGUGUGCUCACUCUGACACAGUUGAAAAGGAGGUCGUUUCUCUGGGAACUGGGACCAAAUGUAUUGGACGAGCAGCUAUGAGUCCCAGUGGUGAUGUACUUAAUGACAGCCACGCAGAAGUCAUUGCCAGAAGGGGGUGUAUCAGGUACCUGAUCCAGGAGCUGCACAAGGCCGUGAGUGGAGGGGUCAGCUCUGUGUUUUGUCAAGCAAAUGAGCCGGGCAAAUGGAAGCUUCAGCCUGGAGUUUCUUUCCUCUUCUUUACCAGUCACACUCCCUGUGGUGACGCCUCCAUCAUCCCCAUGACUGACACCCAGUCCCAGCCCUGCCCUCCUGUCACAUCUGUAAAGGGCGAUGGUGGCAUUGCUGGAGGAGGAGACAAGAAAAGAAAAGCUGAGGAACCAAGUGAAGGGAAAAAUACUAAACUGCCUCGUCUGGAGGAACUGGAGACAGCAGAGAAAAAGCUGGAGGACAGAGAAGACCUCAAACAAUCCCAGUCGUUCCUUUCAAAUUCAUCUAAAAGUGAAACUCCAUCACAGAGUCAGUCUGCAAAAACUGAUUCAGUACUGCUAGAGAUGAAAAGUAGAGGCCUCUCUGGCAGUGCUGGACUACAUCCACAGGUGCCAGACAUUCACAGAACAGGGGCCAAGUGUGUCCCAGGUGGCCUAGCUGACCCUCUGCACCCUGGGGUGGGAUACCACAACAUAGGGGUGCUUCGUGUGAAACCAGGGCGAGGAGAGCGAACCCUGUCCCUCUCCUGCAGUGACAAACUGGCCCGAUGGGCUGUGCUAGGCUUCCAGGGUGCACUGCUGUCCCAUUACCUACAGGAUGCGCUCUACUUCAGCACUGUGGUGGUGGGGAAGUGUCCAUACAGCCAAGAAGUUAUGCACAGAGCUUUAGUCACAAGGUGUUCCCAUGUAUCGGACCUCCCGGCUGGUUUCUCUGUCUGUCCACUCGUGUUGCUCCAGUCCAGCCUGGAGUUCACCUUCAGCCAUGGCCAGACUGAGCUCCAUCACCAGGCUGGGCAGGGACGUAUCGCCCCCUGUGGUGCAGCCAUCAGCUGGUGUAAUGUGACUGAGCAGCCAGUAGAUGUCACUGCUAACGGCUACAAACACGGAGUCACCAAGAAGGCCCUCGGCACAGCUAAAGCCAGGUCUCUUCUGUGUAAACUGGAGCUUUUUCAUUCCUUCCUGUCUCUGGUAUCAGCCACUGACCCUUCAGCACUUCCCAGCUCUCUCCGGAGACCGGAGCUGCAGACCUACUGGGACUACAAGCAGGCGUCUGAGUCGUACCAGCAGGCCUGGCAGCAGCUCCACAGCCAGGCCUUCCCUCUGUGGCCACGCAGCGACAGAAAUCUCCUGCUCUUCCGCUGAGACAGCCCACUACCUGCAGCCAAACUGCCCUCCCCAAGAUCCAUGAAAAGCUUCAGAGUACAGUGUUGCUCUUACCUUGACUGGGGGACAGUUUUGUCAACGAAGAGGAAGAUGGCUUUCUCUGAAGGCAGCUGGAUGCGUUUCCUGAUGAUCCACAUGAACUGGGCCACUGUGAUGUCAGAGGGCACCAGGUACUUCCUCUUAUCAAUGUCCACUAUCUGAGAGCCAGAAACCUUCUCCACAAUCACCUGGAGCACAUCCAUCAAUAGAAAUUGGGCUUUUUACACUGUAUGAUGUGGCACAGGUUGAAAAUCUCAGUAAACAUCUCAGUUUUGAAAAUAUCAGUUUGUCUGACUCUUCUUAGCCUGAUGGAGUCCAGCCAAACCUUGUGAGUUUUACAGCUGCAUCUGGAGUGAGUCUAAUACUGGUUGCAGUAGCUGUAUAAAAUUGCAGUAUAAUAUGUCACCAGUGAGUGUUAUUGCUGAGCCCUGACAAGUAAGUCUUCCAUGUCCUAUAAGGGCCACUGCAGGAACCUUGUUUAAGUGCAGUCUUCAUGAAAUGUCAGUAAUGAAAAGAGCAGAAAUACAUUUUUUGGCUAUGUAAUGGCAAUUGUCCAUUUCAACAACUGAACAUCAGACACACAUCUGACAUAUUAUAGACUUGGUAAAGUAGCUAAAGUAUUAGCAAAGAGUUGCCUGCGUACAGAUACAGCAAAGGAACGUUAUUCAUUUAGAGUCGGCUUUCUGUCAAACAUAAGUACAUUCACUAUCCUUUUAGGUCUGUUUUUUAAAUUUAGAAUUCAGCCCUGAGGGAAAUUAGCUGCUAAAUGUUUCAUUAUAUUUGCUAGUUAGACUAUACAAAUUUUGUCUGUCGUUUGGGGGCCAGAUGGUCUAUGAUGGAGGUCUGUGCCCGUAAAUAUGAUACCCACCAACAUGAUCGGAAUGCCGCUCAACUGAUGCUAAUGGUUGCAGUUUGGUUAUUUUUAGGAAUAGAUUACUUUGGUUAGGUUUAGGCAUCAAAACUAAUUUGUUAAGAUUAGGAUUUGAUUUCAGGUAAAACACCUAUUUUAAUUUGGAUUGUUUGAUUAAUGAAUCAAAGUUAAUAUGUUACGUUUUAUGUAUGCACCAAUCACCAAGACAAAUUCCUAGUAAUGUGAAACCUCUUCACUUACAAUGGCAAUAAAGUCAUUCUGAUUCUGAUUCUGAUGGUGUGGCCCUGAAACACAGCCACAUGCUUGGCUCCUAUAAAAAACUGUAACGUUUUGGGUGGUAAAUUCAAAACAUCGAGGUGAAAGAAGCUAACCUGUUUAAUGAAGUGAGCGAAAGAGCAGGGUGAUAAUACUCUUGGGUGCAUCAUUAAGAGCAACUCCUUUGAGAGCAAUGUGAUUCAUUGUCAUUUGAUCCACUGGGCUGUUCUAUCUUGCUUUUGUUUUCAAGUGUUGAAGGUCUUAUGUACGAUCUGACAGUGCAGUGGAGCAUGCAAGAUUGAGUUUACCAGGCAUUAUUAUAAACACAAAAGGCUCUGGGUUUGUAUUCCUUCGGGGCAGGAAGUUUAACACCUUAUGUUGUCCAUAAUAUCACUCUAUAUGCAACUCUCACCUGAGGUGUUUGUCCUCAAUGGUGCUAUGUUCCCUUCCUCCCAGCGGUGGUGUGUUUGUCAGUGCGAGAAGUCUACAUGAAGUGUAACAUCAGUCACUUAUCAGUAGGAGAAUGGGACUGUGAAUUUUGAGGGUCAUUACUUUGGGUAUUAUACUGCUGACAUUUGAUGUGUUAGUUCUGAUUUUUAUCUACAAUAUCAUUCAUCGUUAUCUUUAUGCCCCCAUAUGAAAGUUUGUUGAUGUUUCCCCUCAUAACUGAAUUUUGGACCAAAUUUAAAGCACAAUUCAGGAAAUAUUUUGAUAUAAAACCUGAAAACACAAAAUGAGCAUAUAUGACACUUUCAUUAGUGGUUAGAACAUCAACAUUUUUUUCCUUAUUUGAAACUAGCUGUAGUAACUGAUGGGUAUUAAUGUUAGCAUACAAACCAAUUCGAGCUAGUAAGGACCUUUGGUUGAGGCCUACUGUGUCUUGUGCUUAUAGUGAAAUGCCAAACCUUUAAGUAAAAUAUGAAACGUCAUGUUGAAGCAUUUAGUAAUAGCAGAAUUAGCUGACUGAUUAACUUUCAGAUUUUGAGUCCAAUAGAACCUCUGUUGAUACGUCAAUUAUAUAUUUAUAUUUGUUUCUGUAUGGUAUGCCGCCAAUACUGGACACAAUAACGCUUUAUUCAGCAAUCAACUCCAUUCCCUCAACUGCAACUUUUGUAUCUUUACCCUGUUCCCUGACAUUAUUUGUGACUAUUUUUGUUUCAUGACAUUGAGCAGUUACUAUUUAUAUUGAUGUAUGUCGUACUUAGUAGCUUUUAUUUUUCUUUUUUUUUCACUUUGUGUACUGUAGAUAGUAUUCUAGAUUCUAAAAGCUAUGCCUGGUUACUACAUCUAUUCUCACCAUUGUGGAAUAAAUAUUCAACCUAAUAUUGAAGCUACUGGAUGGGAAAUUGAAAAAGAACAUUGAAAAAAUUAGAAACAUGGCUUUAAGUGAUUAAUAAAUGUAUGUGACUAAUUCAGUUUAUCAGCAAAAUCAUAGGGAUGGGGGGAGAGCUAAAUGGAGUCAAACCUGUGAGACGCCAUGUAAAUACAGUAAUUGGUCUUUUUGCUGCAUCAAUGGCUUUCUUGAAUUUCCCUCGGGAUCAAUAAAGUAUCUAUCUAUCUAUCUUCAGGUAAUUAACAAAGCAGACAGCGGGAACUUUGGAAAUCAUUAAGGUUCUCAGACUUAGUUAUGGAUACUCCAUUUUUGACAUUUGAUAUUUUUCACUGGGUCACAAUCAGUGCACUCUGGGCUCUAUCCAAAUCCUAAUCUGUCCACCAAGAUUAUCACUCACUCAUCACUCAUUCUCUUCUUUCCUACUGAAUACUGCCAUUCGCUCAUCCAGUCACUCACUCCUUAACAACUGACAUUCUGUCACUCACUCUAUCUGUACACUUAAGCUCCAUCCCACUGCCAACGACACCACCGCCCACUCACUCACCGGUACUCUGUCAGGAUAUUUGUUGCGUAUUUUGGCUGAUUCCACACAUCGGUGCUCUGAGGGAGAGACGGGACACAAACAGGAAGUCAAAGAAAGAUUCUCAUUUGUGCCAAAUGCAUCCAAGCCUGGUCCAUAGUGUCAGUGAUUACUGUUAAGAAUUGAAUCACAACAACUGUUUUAUUAAACGAUACUGAACAUUUUAGUACUGAUCAUUAUCAAAGAGGACGUGAAAGUGCUUCUAUUUCCAGAGUGCCUUAAGAGCAAAGACAGAUGCAGCAGGCAGACAGUUAACAAAGGCCAGAGAGAGGAGGCUGUAGUGAUGGGUGAUAAGGUGUGGUGGAUCCAUUUAGCCUAGCACGCUGCCUGCUUCCUUUUGCUCAGAUAAGAGGCCUAUUUUAGAAACAUCUCUACAAACCCAACAGGAGUGUUUCCUUAACAAGGAGACUUGAGGGUAUCUGAGGAGAAUAGGAGCAUAGAAGCUGAAAGUAGCAGAGGAACCGACAGAUGUGUUGCUUGUGGAGUUACAAAACCAUCUAUCCCCCACCUAUCUGAAUAUGGAGACCACUUUACACCAAACUCUAUUCAACAUUCUUGCAAAUAGACA